UCCGUAGGUGAACCUGCGGAAGGAUCAUUAGAGAAUUUAAUGGGAGUCCCUCUUAACCGGAGAAGGCCCAAUUCUACUAUUUUUCAAACCCUAGUGCAUUUGUCCCCUUUUUUAAUUACCCUUUUAACCCUUUUUGCAUUUGAAAAGGUUGUUGUGUUUAACACAUUUUGAUAAAUGAAAGAAAAACUUUCAGCAAUGGAUCUCUUGGCUCUCGCAUCGAUGAAGAACGCAGCAAAGCGCGAAAUGUAAUGUGAAUUGCAGAAUUCAGUGAAUCAUCGAAUCUUUGAACGCACCUUGCGCUCUUGGGUUAUUCCUAAGAGCAUGUUCGUUUGAGUGUCGCGUACCUCUCAACCCCCUUUGUACUUUCGGGUAUGAAGUGUUAGGGUUGGAUCAUGACGGUUUCUGUUUGAAUGCCACAAACUCCGUUGAAAUACAAAAAGCUUUGAAGUAUCUCAUAAGACGAGCUUGACCCGUUGUCAUACGUUCUAGUAACAACUCCCAACGGUUAUCGUUUUAAUGCUUUCACUCUUAAAAACAGUGAGAGAGAGUCAGUUCAGCUUACCAUAAACGUAGCCCCUCUUGAGUGAGGACCCGGCACCUUUUUACAAUUGACCUCAAAUCGAGCAGGACUACCCCCUGAACUUAAGCAUAUCAAUAAGCGGAGGA
rnacentral:rRNA from 1 species